rnacentral:rRNA from 1 species
CAGCAGCCACGGGAAUACGAAGGGGGCUAGCGUUGUUCGGAUUUACUGGGCGUAAAGGGCGCGUAGGCGGGCGAAUAAGUCAGGGGUGAAAUCCCAAGGCUCAACCUUGGAACUGCCUUUGAUACUGUUUGUCUUGAGUUCGAGAGAGGUAAGUGGAACUGCGAGUGUAGAGGUGAAAUUCGUAGAUAUUCGCGAGAACACCAGUGGCGAAGGCGGCUUACUGGCUCGAAACUGACGCUGAGGCGCGAAAGCGUGGGGAGCAAACAGGAUUAGAUACCCGCGUAGUCCCUGUCUCUUAUAC